rnacentral:rRNA from 1 species
UACGGGGGGGGCAAGCGUUGUUCGGAAUUACUGGGCGUAAAGGGCUCGUAGGCGGCCAACUAAGUCGGACGUGAAAUCCCCGGGCUCAACCCGGGAACUGCGUCCGAUACUGGAAGGCUUGAAUCCGGGAGAGGGAUGCGGAAUUCCAGGUGUAGCGGUGAAAUGCGUAGAGAUCCGGAGGAACACCAGUGGCGAAGGCGGCUGGCUGGACCUGACCUGACGCUGAGGCGCGAAGGCGUGGGGAGCGAACGGG